UACAGAGGUCUCAAGCGUUGUUCGGAUUCAUUGGGCGUAAAGGGUGCGUAGGUGGCGUCGUAAGUGGGGUGUGAAAUCCCGGGGCUUAACCCCGGGACUGCAUUCCAUACUGCGGUGCUUGAGGACUGGAGAGGAGACUGGAAUUUACGGUGUAGCAGUGAAAUGCGUAGAUAUUGUGAGGAACAUUAGUGGCGAAAGCGAAUCUCUGGACAGUUCCUGACGCUGAGGCACGAAGGCCAGGGGAGUAAACGGG
rnacentral:rRNA from 1 species